CGGCGGACGGGUGAGUAACACGUGGAUAACCUACCUAUAAGACUGGGAUAACUUCUGGAAACCGGAGCUAAUACCGGAUAAUAUAUUGAACCGCAUGGUUCAAUAGUUAAAGACGGUUUUGCUGUCACUUAUAGAUGGAUCCGCGCCGCAUUAGCUAGUUGGUAAGGUAACGGCUUACCAAGGCAACGAUGCGUAGCCGACCUGAGAGGGUGAUCGGCCACACUGGAACUGAGACACGGUCCAG
rnacentral:rRNA from 1 species